rnacentral:rRNA from 1 species
CCUACGGGAGGCAGCAGUGAGGAAUAUUGGUCAAUGGGCUUACGCCUGAACCAGCCAAGUCGCGUGAGGAAAGACUGUCCAGCGUGUUGUAAACCUCUUUUGUCAGGGACCAAAGCCGGCUACUAGUACCCGGAUUGAGAGUACCUGAAGAAAAACCUUCGCCUAACCCCGUGCCACCAGCCCGGGGAAUACGAAGGAUGCGAGCGGUAUCCGGAUUUUUUGGGUUUAAAGGGUGCGUAGGCGGAAUGCCAAGUCAGCGGUAAAAUCGCGGGGCCCAACCUCGCUCCGCCGUUGAAACUGGCGGUCUUGAGUGGGCGAGAAGUAUGCGGAAUGCGUGGUGUAGCGGUGAAAUGCAUAGAUAUCACGCAGAACUCCGAUUGCGAAGGCAGCAUGCCGGCGCCCCACUGACGCUGAGGCACGAAAGCGUGGGUAUCGAACAGGAUUAGAUACCCUAGUAGUC